UACGUAGGGGGCUAGCGUUAUCCGGAAUUACUGGGCGUAAAGGGUGCGUAGGCGGUCUUUCAAGCCAGAAGUGAAAGGCUACGGCUCAACCGUAGUAAGCCUUUGAAACUGGGAAACUUGAGUGCAGGAGAGGAGAGUGGAAUUCCUAGUGUAGCGGUGAAAUGCGUAGAUAUUAGGAGGAACACCAGUUGCGAAGGCGGCUCUCUGGACUGUAACUGACACUGAGGCACGAAAGCGUGGGGAGCAAACAGGAUUAGAUACCCUGGUAGUCCCUGA
rnacentral:rRNA from 1 species